CAAGUACUCCCUCCUUCCGGAAUUACUUGUCAUCAAAAUGGAUGUGUCUAGAACUAAAAUACAUCUAUAUACAUCCAUUUCAAUGACAAGUAUUUUCGGACGGAGGGAGUACAAG
rnacentral:pre_miRNA from 1 species